rnacentral:lncRNA from 1 species
GACUCUUCCCCUCCCGCUGUCCCAGGGAGCAUAGCUCUGUUGCUACUUUGUUUCUUCUGGAACUGUGGCAGGAUUUCCACUAAGGGUCACAGAGUCCAAGUUCUCAGGGUACUCCAUGGAUUGAACUCAGCAGAAGCCUGGGAGCAGUGGGGUGUGCAAUGCAAUUCUGGGUCAGCUUCCUCCGGCAGAAGGCAAGACAGGGAAGAAGCUGGGGACGAUGGAGACAGGUGAAGCAGAGCAGACUGACACCGAGAAGGGCUCCGAAAUUUGAAAUAAGUCUCUCAGUCUACACGUUUAAUAAAUCAAGCUUCACUGAGCUCUGGUAAUAUUUUUUCGGCUGUGAGAGCCACAGUAGGCG